AUCACUACUAUCAAAGCAAGAUUCAGAAUGGUGAGGACUUUCUUGACCCCUUUUCCCUUCAGAACAGCUUGUUGCCUUCAUAUAACGAGGCGAUGAAUCGGAUACCUCAAGUGAAUAUGUGAGUUAUUUUGUUGAUUCUGUUAUACUGAUGAACUUGCUUUUCAUCAACCAAAUGAUCUUGAGGAUGAUGAAUCAACUGACAUCAAAGGGUAGUUCACCAGAUUGAGAACUUUGCCAAAAUGGGGGAAAAAAAGAUGGUCUUUUUCUUCUUUGACAAAGUUAUCAACUUUGAGGAAAAAAUUUGUAUAACUUUGACAAGAAAGUGCAAAAUUCUGUCUUUAUUAGUCUAUUUGAUUAUUAGUGUAUGAGGAAUUUUGGCAUUUGAAACUAGACUUGGUGCUCUUGGUUUUGAACUUUUGGCUGAUGGAUCAAUGAAAAGGCAAGGGAAGUUCCUUUGUUUGUUUGGUUUCUUAAUGGUGUCUGUCCCAUCUCUCUCCUUACAUGUCAAGCUUUGAGCUAGUUCUUCUUUUAAGCAUCCAGUACACGAAACUCAAUGGUCCGACAAAUUCAAAUUUGCAUCAGGUGGGCCCACUAAGGGGAGUAAAACGCUCGCUUCCAACUUCUAACAGAUCCUCUAUUAACACAGAAAACCGAGACCUCUGGUAUAGGAUGGAGGAAUUUCAAUCAUCGCUCAACAUCCCUUGGCAGUUGAGGAAGUGAUCGUUCAAUGCCACUAGCCCCUCCAAGAUUUGACUUUUUUUUUUUAUUGGAAAAGGCUUCUUUUUUUUCAAAGAAUUAUUACUAGUUAAUUCUUUUCUGGAAGGUUGUUGAAAUGUUUUAUCUGUUGUGUUGCAGUUGAGAAUUUUCAAUUAAUACCUGAAUGGCAGUGAUUCCCUUACUUGUAUAAUUGAGGUAGUUGUCAAGAAAGGUUAUCUUGUCAGAUGUUUCUUUAAGUUAAUGAUUGACAUAAAAGGCAAUCAAUUCCAA